rnacentral:rRNA from 1 species
AUUGAACGCUGGCGGCAUGCCUUACACAUGCAAGUCGAACGGUAACGGGCCUUCGGGUGCCGACGAGUGGCGAACGGGUGAGUAAUACAUCGGAACGUGCCCGAUCGUGGGGGAUAACGAGGCGAAAGCUUUGCUAAUACCGCAUACGAUCUACGGAUGAAUGCCGGGGCCCGCAAGGCCUUGCGCGGACGGAGCGGCCGAUGGUAGAUUAGGUAGUUGGUGGGAUAAAAGCCUACCAAGACGACGAUCUCCAGGUGGUCUGAGAGGAUGAUCAGCCAAACUAGGACUGAGACACGGCCCAGACUCCUACGGGAGGCAGCAGUGGGGAAUUUUGGACAAUGGGCGCAAGCCUGAUCCAGCCAUGCCGCGUGCAGGAUGAAGGCCUUCGGGUUGUAAACUGCUUUUGUACGGAACGAAAAGCCUUCUUUUAAUACAGGAGGGUCAUGACGGUACCGUAAGAAUAAGCACCGGCUAACUACGUG